CGUGCCUUACACUUUAGCAGCAGAUCAGCUUUCCAAACAAUAACAAAUCUCGCUUGUCUGUUAGUUUGUGUUUACUGUUGCUAUGGUGAUUCAGUGUUUGCAAGGGAGUGAGAGAAGUAAGUUGUUAUUGUAUUAUCAGUAGAAAAUUAUUAGAUUUAUAUCUUUUAAUGUUCUAAAUUCGUAUUAACUGUGCAAUUUUACCGUUAAUAAGAUGCUGCAAUGAUUUAUAUAAUAUAUUUUUGAUGAAGGAUUGAGAGAAAAAGCGUCAUUUGUAUAUGAGAGUGAAAUCUGCACACGAGUGCCACCUGGAGUUUUCCUGGGUUUUCGCUUUGAUUUUGAGUGAUUUCCUUGGCUGGGUUUUUUGUGUGUGUCGAAGCAUCUGUGAUGAGUCCCUAAUUCACGUUGGACUCGAGGAGAAACUUACGGCGAGCCACCCACGGAACCGACUCUCCUGUUAGACUGUGUGUUUGUGCCACCGGACUGGUAGGAGAGUUCUUUUGAUUGUUUGGAGAAACGAGACUCGGACUCAUCGCGACCUUCCGCUUUUCCUUCUUACUUUUCCUAAAAUCCUCAACGGAAAACCUUUACUGGAACUGAGCUAAGAGAAUCAACAGUUCUCUUUCACGAAAUCCUUGGUAUUGAACUGUGAACGGCAACCGGUGGAACGAAUCAUCUGAAAGCGAAACAAAUCCUUUGGACAGCAAAACGAAUCUUUUGAGUAGCGAACGAUUCAUUUGAACAGAGUUUUGAUUCUUUGAACAGUGAGGUGAUUCAUUUUAACAGAGUAGCGAUCUUUUGAACAGGGAGGUGAUUCAUUUGAACCGUGUAUUGAUUCUUUAAACAGAGAGGUGAUUUAUUUGAGCACAUUAAUGAUUUAUUGAGUUAAAAGUGUGAAUAUUGAAUUAUAGCCUGCAUUUGAGUAGA